GGGCCCGCACAAGCAGUGGAUUAUGUGGUUUAAUUCGACGCAACGCGAAGAACCUUACCAGGGUUUGACAUCCCGCUAACGAGGCAGAGAUGCGUUAGGUGCCCUUCGGGGAAAGCGGAGACAGGUGGUGCAUGGUUGUCGUCAGCUCGUGUCGUGAGAUGUUGGGUUAAGUCCCGCAACGAGCGCAACCCUUAUUGUCAGUUGCUACGCAAGAGCACUCUGGCGAGACUGCCGUUGAUAAAACGGAGGAAGGCGGGGACGAGGUCAAAUCAUCAUGCCCCUUACAUCCUGGGCCACACACGUAAUACAAUGGCGCAAAACAGAGGGCUGCGAAGGCGCGAGCCGGAGCGAAACCCUAAAAGGCGUCUCAGUUCGGAUUGGGGCUGCAACCCGCCCUAUGAAGUCGGAAUUGCUAGUAAUCGCGAAUCAGAAUGUCG
rnacentral:rRNA from 1 species